GACGACGACGAAGACCUUACCAGGUCUUGACAUCCCUCGACAACCCAAGAGAUUGGCGUCCCCUUCGGGGGACAGGGUGACAGGUGGUGCAUGGUUGUCGUCAGCUCGUGCCGUGAGAUGUUGGGUUAAGUCCCGCAACGAGCGCAACCCUCGCCUCUAGUUGCCAGCAUUCGGUUGGGCACUCUAGAGGGACUGCCGGCGACAAGUCGGAGGAAGGUGGGGAUGACGUCAAAUCAUCAUGCCCUUAUGACCUGGGCUACACACGUGCUACAAUGGGCGGUACAAAGGGCUGCGAACCCGCGAGGGGGAGCGAAUCCCAAAAAGCCGCUCUCAGUUCGGAUUGCAGGCUGCAACUCGCCUGCAUGAAGCCGGAAUCGCUAGUAAUCGCGGAUCAGCAUGCCGCGGUGAAUACGUUCCCGGGCCUUGUACACACCGCCCG
rnacentral:rRNA from 1 species